rnacentral:lncRNA from 1 species
CCCCUGCUCCUAUAUGUAAUAUAAGGCAUUCACUCCUAUAUCAGUGUAAGAUAAGGUUUAUACCCCUGCCCCUAUGUGUAACAUAAGGCAUUCACCCCUAUAUCAGUGUAACAUAAGGUUAUACCCCUGCCCCUAUAUGUAACAUACAGCGUUCAACCCUAUAUCAGUGUAAGAUAACGUCUAUACCCCUGCCCCUAUAUGUAACAUAAGGUGUCCACCCCUAUAUCAGUCUAACAUAAGGUUUAUACCCCUGCCCCUAUGUGGUAACAUAAGGCAUUCACACCUACUGUAUAUCAGUGUAAGAUAAGGUUUAUACCCCUGCGCCUAUGUGUAACAUAAGGCAUUCACCCCUAUAUCAGUGUAACAUAAGGUCUAUACCCCUGCCCCUAUAUGUAACAUAAGGCAUUCACCCCUAUAUCAGUCUAACAUAAAGUUUAUACCCCUGCUCCUAUAUGUAAUAUAAGGCAUUCACUCCUAUAUCAGUGUAAGAUAAGGU